GCCUGGCUGGCUUAGUCUGUGGAGCAUGUGACUCUUGGUCUCAGGGUCGUAGGUUUGAGUCCCACGUUGGGUU
rnacentral:tRNA from 1 species